rnacentral:lncRNA from 1 species
GCCAGGGACCAGCAGCACUGCUCUGUGCUCUGGGGACGUGCCAUGCUGUCACCACGCUCAGGUGUGCAGAGCCAGCUGCCAUCCAUGCUGUCAUAUCAGAAAAAAUUCAGAAUUAAAGCCACAUCAAGCCCAAGGUGUGCUGGAAUGGGUGAGACAAAGUGACAAAUGCAGUGAUUUAUAAUGAAGCAGUGAUUUAUAGCCCUGCUCUUCUGAUUGUUUUCUGUCAGCUCAGAGAGAGUAAUUUGUGGUGUCCACAUUGAGCCCCCAGUUUAUGGCAUUAUUGCUCAGGGACUGUAAACAGGCAUCCUUCUGUGGCAGCAGCUGUUACCUGCAAACCAGCCUUCUUCUGCUAUGGAUUUUUGCCCUGGUGGGCUUAGAUAAAUAUCGUUCAAAUCAUGGAGUCUGAUUCGUGAGUCAGGACCAUGGCAGCCCUCCAAAACCUCCUGCCCAUGGAGUGUGUUUGUGUGAGAGGGAGAGAGAGUUUCACUGCAUGAAGAGUAAGAAACUGGAAGCCAAGUGAAUUAAAUACAAAGCAGAUAAUUAUGUGUAAUUCAUUUACUGACUAAUGAUUGCACCUUGGUAUGGAGGUUCAUGAAUUCAUUUGACUCUGCAAGGUUCUCAAGAACAAUCUCCCUGCUACAAGAUAAGAGCUGGCUGACUUGUUAACAGACCAGUGUUUACAUUAGUGUUAUUGUAAGAUUCUGCCUUUUUGGCUCAUUUCACAUUUUACCUCACGGCCAUUCACUUUUCCUGGGUCCAUCUGGUGUCUCUGACAGUUUCAAUAGCUCAGUGCUGGUCAAGGCUGGCUGUCACUGCAGACUGAAGGCAUCAUCUGCUCCUGGGAGCAAUCACACACAGCUCUUCUCUCCUGUCUGCUGCAGCCAAACCUUGCCAUGGAGACUGUGACUUUGGCAGGGGAUCAGCAGGUCACAGCCCCCUUUCCCCAGUGCUGGUGUCCCUGGCACUCUUCCUGGUGUCACCCACUGGCCACUGCAGCCUGA